rnacentral:rRNA from 1 species
AUUGAACGCUGGCGGCAUGCCUUACACAUGCGAGUCGAACGGCAGCACGGGUGCUUGCACCUGGUGGCGAGUGGCGAACGGGUGAGUAAUAUAUCGGAACGUACCUUAUUGUGGGGGAUAACGCAGCGAAAGCUGUGCUAAUACCGCAUAAUCCCUAAGGGGGAAAGCGGGGGACCGUAAGGCCUCGCGCAAUUAGAGCGGCCGAUACCUGAUUAGCUAGUUGGUGAGGUAAAGGCUCACCAAGGCAACGAUCAGUAGCUGGUCUGAGAGGACGAUCAGCCACACUGGGACUGAGACACGGCCCAGACUCCUACGGGAGGCAGCAGUGGGGAAUUUUGGACAAUGGGGGCAACCCUGAUCCAGCAAUGCCGCGUGAGUGAAGAAGGCCUUCGGGUUGUAAAGCUCUUUUGUCAGGGAAGAAACAGCAGCUCUAACACAGUAUGCGAAUGGCGGUACCUGAAGAAUAAGCACCGGCUAACUACGUGCCAGCAGCCGCCGUAA